rnacentral:misc_RNA from 1 species
GAUGAAGAACGUAGCGAAAUGCGAUAAGUAAUGUGAAUUGCAGAAUUCAGUGAAUCAUCGAAUCUUUGAACGCACAUUGCGCCCUUUGGUAUUCCGAAGGGCAUGCCUGUUCGAGCGUCAUUUCACCACUCAAGCCUGGCUUGGUAUUGGGCGCCGCGGUCGAUCCGCGCGCCUCAAAGUCUCCGGCUGAGCUGUCCGUCUCUAAGCGUUGUGAUUUCAUUAAUCGCUUCGGAGUGCGGGCGGCCGCGGCCGUUAAAUCUUUCACAAGGUUGACCUCGGAUCAGGUAGGGUUACCCGCUGAACUUAAGCAUAUCAAUAAGCGGAGGA